AUGCUCAAAGUUGGAGCAAGGAGGAGUGCCUCCCUGGACUCGCUUGGGCAGUACAACAUGCUGGACCUCUGCACCGACGCCAACAAGGACGGCCACCUGAGAGGCAAGAUCGCCAAGAUGAUUGGACUUAAGGACCGAUGGCAGAAGAUGCACUACUCAAGCACCGCCCCCGUCUCUGACGCCAUAAAGACUCUGCUGCUGAGGGAGAUCAGGAAGAGGAAAAUAGAUGAUCUGAGGAAUGCACGGGGCAGGUGGAUCCUCAAGGAGAAAGAGAUGUACGAGGAUCUCACACGGAUCGCCGACGACACCGAGCUGGACCGUAGCAUCAUGGUGUGGCACAUCGCCACCGAUCUCUACCUCUCCAUGUGCCCUGGCCCUGACCCUGACCCGGACAAGGAGGUCCGGGACAGCAUACGAGUGCUCUCCAACCACAUGUUGUUCCUCAUGGUGGUGCAUCCCUACCUGUUGCCCGGAGUUGUUCGCACCGGCCGGUACAUGGAGAACUUGAAGUACUAUGAUAUGGUGUGGUGGGUUAAUUUGAAGGCCACCAAGGAAAGCACCAUGAAGCUGUCAAGAGCGGAGAUCAUCAACAAGAUAGCCGACAGUCACCAAACCACCAACUUAAUCAUCUUUUAUUAUCUGUGA
rnacentral:rRNA from 1 species